AUCGAACGCUGGCGGCAUGCCUAACACAUGCAAGUCGAACGAGUGGAGGACGGGUGAGUAAUGUCUGGGCAACUGCCUGACGGAGGGGGAUAACUACUGGAAACGGUAGCUAAUACCGCAUACCAUCGGUUGUGCCCAGACGGGAUUAGCUAGUAGGUGGGCUAACGGCUCACCUAGGCGACGAUCCCUAGCUGGUCUGAGAGGAUGACCGGCCACACUGGGACUGAGACACGGUCCAGACUCCUACGGGAGGCAGCAGUAGGGAAUAUUGGGCAAGGGGCGAAAGCCUGAUCCAGCCAUGCCGCGUGUGUGAAGAAGGUCUUCGGAUUGUAAAGCACUUUAAGUUGGGAAGCGUUACCAACAGAAUAAGCAACGGCUAACUUCGUGCCAGCAGCCGCGGUAAUUC
rnacentral:rRNA from 1 species